rnacentral:rRNA from 1 species
GGCUUAACACAUGCAAGUCGAGGGGCAGCAUGGUCUUAGCUUGCUAAGGCCGAUGGCGACCGGCGCACGGGUGAGUAACACGUAUCCAACCUGCCGUCUACUCUUGGACAGCCUUCUGAAAGGAAGAUUAAUACAAGAUGGCAUCAUGAGUCCGCAUGCUCACAUGAUUAAAGGUAUUCCGGUAGACGAUGGGGAUGCGUUCCAUUAGAUAGUAGGCGGGGUAACGGCCCACCUAGUCUUCGAUGGAUAGGGGUUCUGAGAGGAAGGUCCCCCACAUUGGAACUGAGACACGGUCCAAACUCCUACGGGAGGCAGCAGUGAGGAAUAUUGGUCAAUGGGCGAGAGCCUGAACCAGCCAAGUAGCGUGAAGGAUGACUGCCCUAUGGGUUGUAAACUUCUUUUAUAAAGGAAUAAAGUCGGGUAUGGAUACCCGUUUGCAUGUACUUUAUGAAUAAGGAUCGGCUAACUCCGUGCCAGCAGCCGCGGUAAUACGGAGGAUCCGAGCGUUAUCCGGAUUUAUUGGGUUUAAAGGGAGCGUAGAUGGAUGUUUAAGUCAGUUGUGAAAGUUUGCGGCUCAACCGUAAAAUUGCAGUUGAUACUGGAUAUCUUGAGUGCAGUUGAGGCAGGCGGAAUUCGUGGUGUAGCGGUGAAAUGCUUAGAUAUCACGAAGAACUCCGAUUGCGAAGGCAGCCUGCUAAGCUGCAACUGACAUUGAGGCUCGAAAGUGUGGGUAUCAAACAGGAUUAGAUACCCUGGUAGUCCACACGGUAAACGAUGAAUACUCGCUGUUUGCGAUAUACUGCAAGCGGCCAAGCGAAAGCGUUAAGUAUUCCACCUGGGGAGUACGCCGGCAACGGUGAAACUCAAAGGAAUUGACGGGGGCCCGCACAAGCGGAGGAACAUGUGGUUUAAUUCGAUGAUACGCGAGGAACCUUACCCGGGCUUAAAUUGCAGAUGAAUUACGGUGAAAGCCGUAAGCCGCAAGGCAUCUGUGAAGGUGCUGCAUGGUUGUCGUCAGCUCGUGCCGUGAGGUGUCGGCUUAAGUGCCAUAACGAGCGCAACCCUUGUUGUCAGUUACUAACAGGUUCCGCUGAGGACUCUGACAAGACUGCCAUCGUAAGAUGUGAGGAAGGUGGGGAUGACGUCAAAUCAGCACGGCCCUUACGUCCGGGGCUACACACGUGUUACAAUGGGGGGUACAGAGGGCCGCUACCACGCGAGUGGAUGCCAAUCCCCAAAACCUCUCUCAGUUCGGACUGGAGUCUGCAACCCGACUCCACGAAGCUGGAUUCGCUAGUAAUCGCGCAUCAGCCACGGCGCGGUGAAUACGUUCCCGGGCCUUGUACACACCGCCCGUCAAGCCAUGGGAGCCGGGGGUACCUGAAGUGCGUAACCGCGAGGAGCGCCCUAGGGUAAAACUGGUGACUGGGGCUAAGUCGU